rnacentral:rRNA from 1 species
AACGAACGCUGGCGGCGCGUCUUAACCAUGCAAGUCGAGCGGCAGGCAGCAAUGCCGAGAGCGGCGGACUGGUGAGUAACACGUGGAUAACGUACCCCGAUGCCCGGGACAGCCUGUAGAAAUAGAGGGUGAUACCGGAUAGAUCACUGUAUACGGAAGGUAGACAGCGGGAAAGGAGCUUCGGCUCCGCGCCGGGAACGGUCUGCGGCCCAUCAGCUGGACGGCGGGGUAACGGCCCGCCGUGGCGAGGACGGGUAUCCGGCCUGAGAGGGCGGACGGACACAUUGGGACUGAGAUACGGCCCAGACUCCUACGGGAGGCAGCAGGUAGGAAUAUUCCGCAAUGGGGGAAACCCUGACGGAGCGACGCCGCGUGAACGAAGAAGGCCGGAAGGUUGUAAAGUUCUUUUCUGUCCGAGGAAUAAGUGUAGGAGGAAAUGCCUGCAUGGUGACGGUAGGGCAGGAAUAAGCACCGGCUAAUUACGUGCCAGCAGUCGCGGUAACACGUAAGGUGCGAGCGUUGUUCGGAAUUAUUGGGCGUAAAGGGCAUGCAGGCGGGUCGCCAAGCUUGGUAAGAAAUACCGGGGCUCAACUCCGGAGCUAUAUUGAGAACUGGCGAGCUGGAGUUGCCGAAGGGUAUCCGGAAUUCCGCGUGAAGGGGUGAAAUCUGUAGAUAUGCGGAAGAACACCGAUGGCGAAGGCAGGAUACCGGCGGACGACUGACGCUGAGGUGCGAAGGUGCGGGGAGCAAACAGG